UCUCAGUGAUGUCAAAUUUGAUGACGAGUCUGAUGCGCUUAAUAUCUUGAUGUGAAACGAGGCAUUUGUCUGAGAGAA
rfam:Picea glauca, whole genome shotgun sequence.